rnacentral:rRNA from 1 species
GAGCCUUGAUGUGUAGGAUAGGUGGGAGGCUUUGAAGUGUGGACGCCAGUCUGCAUGGAGCCGACCUUGAAAUACCACCCUUUAAUGUUUGAUGUUCUAACGUGGACCCGUGAUCCGGGUUGCGGACAGUGUCUGGUGGGUAGUUUGACUGGGGCGGUCUCCUCCUAAAGAGUAACGGAGGAGCACGAAGGUUGGCUAAUCCUGGUCGGACAUCAGGAGGUUA